rnacentral:rRNA from 1 species
UACGGAGGAUCCGAGCGUUAUCCGGAUUUAUUGGGUUUAAAGGGUGCGUAGGCGGCCUAUUAAGUCAGGGGUGAAAUACGGUGGCUCAACCAUCGCAGUGCCUUUGAUACUGACGGGCUUGAAUCCAUUUGAAGUGGGCGGAAUAAGACAAGUAGCGGUGAAAUGCAUAGAUAUUACAAGGAACACCAACGGCGAAGGCAGCACUCUGGGCCGGUACUGACGCUGAGGAGCGAAAGCGUGGGUAGCAAACAGG